UAAGGAAUAUUGGUCAAUGGACGCAAGUCUGAACCAGCCAUGCCGCGUGAAGGAAGACGGCCCUACGGGUUGUAAACUUCUUUUGUACGGGAAAAAACCACCGGUCGUGAACCGGUGCUGAUGGUACCGUAAGAAUAAGCAUCGGCUACCUCCGUGCCAGCAGCCGCGGUAAUACGGAGGAUGCAAGCGUUAUCCGGAUUCAUUGGGUUUAAAGGGUGCGCAGGCGGAAUGAUAAGUCAGUGGUGAAAUCCUACGGCUCAACUGUAGAACGGCCAUGUAUACUGU
rnacentral:rRNA from 1 species